CGGUUAUGUCUCGUAUACCGUUAUCAUUUGAGGCACUCGGCCGUGCGGUGGUGUUCCGGGAAACGGGAUGCUUAGACGCUUGUCGUCAGGCGCGCGGUGUGAGGACGGGUUAAAUGCCCG
rfam:Domibacillus enclensis strain NIO-1016 genome assembly, contig: Ga0061089_102